UUAAGUAACUUUCCUGAGAUUCCAGAGUCAGAGAUGAAACAGUGAGAUAGUUACUGGCUUUCUGCAUACUGGCUUCCUGUAUCACAGAGAACUAAUUCAGAGCUAUUUUAAAACUUUAAGUAAAUGAGCUCAGCUUUAUUAUUCACUGUUGAAUGCCUAAGAAAAUUUUAAUUUUAAACAUGAGUUUAAAAAAAAUGAGUAGAUCCACAGAGGGUUUGUCUUUUUUGAUCUCUCAGCUCUGAUUGGAAAUAAGUCAGUAUUGGCAGUGUUGUUAAAAUCUCCACCAUGAAGAUCCAUCAGGGUGCUUGGAGUCUAACAAGAGAAAAGGCAUCUCAAAGCCACAGUCACAGCUCUGGACACACAGGUGCUGAGAAGAACUGAUCAAGCAGUAAUGUCUCCAUGGGGACCAGCCAGCCAGCAACAGUGUACACACUCACUGUGUACUGACCAGGACACAGAAAAUCUGUUCUGCCAAUCCCUGGACUCCUAAUUAGCCUUCCGUCUCCCAAAAUGCUCUAUCUCAGAACCCAGCCACCAGGCUGUGAUAAAUCCAAGCCACAUGGAAAGACUGCAUGUGGGAGGCACAAUUCAAAUUAGAUUUGAACUUUCAUUUAUAUCCACUGUGUCACUGGAAAAAUUAGAAAUAAAUUAAGUUCUACUAAAAUCUAAUAUCCUAUUUGUCUACGGCACCAUCACUCAUCUGCAUGUCAGAGUCAACAUGUUAAACCUUCUCCUUGAGUACUGUGCAACAUAUUCUGAAUUAAAUGGUCUAGUCAAACUGGUUUAUAUAUGUAUUAUAUUAUUUAGUUCUGACUUAUUAAUUAGCCCUCUCAAAAUGGACAAGGAGCAUAAAGAGAUUUCUGCAAAGAAACCAUAGAUUGACUAAAAAUAGUAAUAAGACAAGCACAUUGAUACAAGAAAAAACUAGAAGAGCUGAUACAUCUCCUAGGGCAAGUUUCUAGCUAGCCACAGUAUCAGAGUAAAAGCUGUGAUGAUCUGAUCUCAUCAGAACUAACUCAAUGAUUUAGAAAUUACCCAGGAGACGAUUGGAAGUGCAGAUUUACAUCCAAUAAAUUAUUGACUCUUACCCAAAGAGUUAUUGUGCUUGUUAUAUUAAUGACGAUAGUACAUAUGUACAUACUUGUAACUAAUAGAUAAAAUUAGAAAGUUGAAAAAUAUGAAAUUGCCAAUGUUCAACUACUUUUGACCCAUAAAAUAUCAAUUUCAUAUGGUUCAAUCUAAUUUGUUUAGGUUAAAUGCUCAAAAAUUAUUUACUUUGGAGUGAGUACAGUAAAAAUGUCUAUGUAGACUAUUGGUUUAAGGAAUAAGAUACCUGAUAAGCAUUAAUUUAGCAUACACAGUGCUUAGGAAACUGUUAACCAUCGCUCCCCAGAUAUGUAUAUAUGUGAACACAGACACAUGAUGUCUUACAAAAUUAUUGCUUUGCUUGUCUGAUGAAUAGAUAAUUUUAACACAUGUACUCUUUCCAAUUGGGGUGGAUCUUAGCACCCAGGUAGAUUAUGAAACACUGACUUGAAUGACAAUAAUUAUUCUUUGCCUGACUCCAUCCUGCAGUGAUCUAUCUAGAAAAUCAACAUUCCUUAGUAAAAAACAAGGCUUCAAAAAGAAUGAUCUUUAUGGGAGCUGGUGGUUAUAGAGAAUUUUAGUGCCAAUAAAAAGAAGAUGAGGAUUACUUGUUCCUUUGAGGCUGUGAGGUAAUUAAAAAACAAUAUUUAGUGGGUUUUAGAACACCUAUUUCCAUGAAAUCUCAGCACUAAACAAUUCAGGGAAAUCGGAAUAGAUAAAUCACCUAAACAGAUCAGAAAAAAAAUGGAUAAAGCAACCAUAAUUCUAUGCUACCUCCACCCCCUCCAGAUUCAUUAAAUUAUUUCAAACUCUUGGCAUAAAAUCCCAUAGCACUUCAAAGCAUGUGUCUUGCUUUGGUGCUUGUCAAAAUUAGUGUCUGAAAGACUGUACAGGGAAUGCUUUUCCAUGCAAGGGGCAGUUUCCUAUUGAAGCCCCUCUCCCAAAUUACUCAGAAAUGUCCUCUCAACCUGCACAUGCAAUAUCAACUCUCUCUUAUCAGCUAAGAUUAUUCUGUUUCACGGCAUCAUAUCUAAAAGCAGAUUUAUGCUUUAAAGUAAAAAGAGGUCAUGGGUUUAUUUUUUUGUUUAUUUGUUCUUUCAGUCAUUGAUUCAUUCAACAAGUAUUCAAGUGACUACCACAAGCCAUGCAGUGAUGGAGACAUAAAAAAAGUACAGCAGUUUGCAACCAGGGGCUAAGGGGCUAUCAAAAAGUUAGAAUUCCAAACACCAGGUGAAUUUGGUUCCCUAAGAUAACAUAAAAAUGUGAGAAGAAUAAAAGAGGUUGUUGAAAACUAUGUGUUCUGGCACCUUUGUGUUUCUCAAUAAUUUACAUAUAAAUACUGGCUCCUUCAGGAACUAUCCCCAAGUUAAAGUCAGGUGACAGAACACCUGGAAAGAGCAAGAGACAGAAAGCGUAGGCUUAGUGAAAGGGAGAGGGUAGCAGCUUUUUCCAAAAUCCCUGGGAUUCAAUAUCCUCAACAGAGUGAAGAGUGGACAUGAAUCUGUCAAAACAAUGUGAGAGUAACCUGUAAGAGCCUCCUACAGGCCAAAGAUGUAACAACUUAAGCAUCAACAGGAA